AAGUAAAGCGAUAUUUAGUAUAAAAAUAAAAAAUAUUAAAUAAUUGAAUAGAGGAAAUAUAUUCUUAGAUUAAAAGUAAAUAGAUAGUCAAUAAUCCUCAUAAGUCAUAACAUAUAAAGUAAAAACAUAAUUAAAUCACAAAAAAUGCAGCAAUAAAAAUAUAGAAAAACACAGCAGCAACCAAAAAAAAAAAAAAACAGUAGCAGAUCAGUUGCAGCAGCCUCGCAGAGAAGAAGAAGAGAACUUACAGCAGUGGCCUGGCAGCAACCAAAAAUAGAAAAAACCAUCGCAGAGCAGUCGCAAAGAAGAAGAGAUGAAGAGAAGAAGAGAACUUACAGCAG
rnacentral:lncRNA from 1 species